rnacentral:rRNA from 1 species
UACGUAGGGGGCAAGCGUUGUCCGGAAUCAUUGGGCGUAAAGCGCGUGUAGGCGGGAGGCCAAGUCUGCCUGUGAAAUCGCUCGGCUCAACUGGGCGAGGUCGGUGGAAACUGGUCCCCUGGAGGACGGUAGAGGCGAGUGGAAUUCCCGGUGUAGUGGUGAAAUGCGUAGAGAUCGGGUGGAACACCAGGGGCGAAGGCGGCUGCCUGGCCCCUGACCUGA